UACGUAGGGUGCAAGCGUUGUCCGGAUUUACUGGGCGUAAAGAGCGCGCAGGCGGUCGUUCAAGUCGAGUGUGAAAGCCCCCGGCUCAACUGGGGAGGGUCACUCGAUACUGAUCGACUCGAAGGCAGGAGAGGGUAGUGGAAUUCCCGGUGUAGUGGUGAAAUGCGUAGAUAUCGGGAGGAACACCAGUGGCGAAGGCGACUACCUGGCCUGUUCUUGACGCUGAGGCGCGAAAGCUAGGGGAGCAAACGGG
rnacentral:rRNA from 1 species